rnacentral:rRNA from 1 species
GAUGAACGCUGGCGGCGUGCCUAAUACAUGCAAGUCGAGCGAACGGACGAGAAGCUUGCUUCUCUGAUGUUAGCGGCGGACGGGUGAGUAACACGUGGAUAACCUACCUAUAAGACUGGGAUAACUUCGGGAAACCGGAGCUAAUACCGGAUGAUAUUUUGAACCGCAUGGUUCAAAAGUGAAAGACGGGCGUGCCGGUACUGAGAGAUGGAUCCGCGCUGCAUUAGCUAGUUGGUAAGGUAACGGCUUACCAAGGCAACGAUGCAUAGCCGACCUGAGAGGGUGAUCGGCCACACUGGAACUGAGACACGGUCCAGACUCCUACGGGAGGCAGCAGUCGGGACUCUUCCGCCCUGGGCGCGCGCCUGCCGGCGCCCCGCCGCGUGCGUGAUGAAGGUCUUCGGAUCGUAAAACUCUGUUAUUAGGGAAGAACCUCUGUGUACGUCCCUGUGCCCAUCUUGACGGUCCCUCCUCAGAAAGCCCCGGCUCCCUACGUG